UUAAAUGGCCGCAGUAAUUUGACUGUGCAAAGGUAGCAUAAUAAUUAGUUUUUUAAUUUAAAGCUUGUAUGAAGGGUUGGACGAAAUAAAAUCUGUCUCUAUUUAAUUAAAUUUAGAAUUUAACUUUUAAGUUAAAAGGCUUAAAUAUUAUUAAAAGACGAGAAGACCCUAUAGAUCUUUAUAUUUUUUAUAUUAAUUUUAAUUAAGAAUUUUUAAUGUUUUAUUAUUUAAAGUAUUUUAUUGGGGUAAUAUAAAGAUUUAAAUAAUUCUUUUUUAUUUAAACAUUAAUUUAUGAUUUUAAUGAUCCAAUUUUAUUGAUUAUAAGAUUAAGUUACCUUAGGGAUAACAGCGUAAUUUUUUUAGAGAGUUCUUAUCGAUAAAAAAGUUUGCGACCUCGAUGUUGGAUUAAAGAUUAUUUUAGGUGUAGAAGCUUGAAAAUUUUGGUCUGUUCGACCAUUAAAUCUUUACAUGAUCUGAGUUCAGACCGGCGUAAGCCAGGUCGGUUUCUAUCUUUAAUAAAUUAAAAUAUUUUAGUACGAAAGGACCAAUUAUUUAAUAUAUUUAUAUUUAAUUUUUGAAUAUUAUUAAUUAUUUUGGCAGAUUAGUGCAAUGAAUUUAGAAUUCAUAUAUGUAAUUUUAUUACAGAUAAUACUUGUUUUAUAUAGAUUUAAUAUUUUCUUUAAUUUGUAUAUUAUUAUUAAUUAUUUGUGUUUUAAU
rnacentral:rRNA from 1 species